AAGUCGUAACAAGGUUUCCGUAGGUGAACCUGCGGAAGGAUCAUUAAAAAAAUGAUGAAUUUCGGGGGGCGUUUAUCGCUCUCCGUGUAUUCAACCAACCCGCUCUUGUAUUUGGAUCAACCAAAAAUUAACAAAAAUACUUAUAUAUAAUAAAAAUAAACUUUCAACAACGGAUCUCUUGGCUCUC
rnacentral:misc_RNA from 1 species